GACGAACGCUGGCGGCGUGCUUAACACAUGCCAGUCGAACGGAAAGGCCCCGCUUUUGUGGGGUGCUCGAGUGGCGAACGGGUGAGUAACACGUGAGUAACCUGCCCUUGACUUUGGGAUAACUUCAGGAAACUGGGGCUAAUACCGGAUAGGAGCUCCUGCUGCAUGGUGGGGGUUGGAAAGUUUCGGCGGUUGGGGAUGGACUCGCGGCUUAUCAGCUUGUUGGUGGGGUAGUGGCUUACCAAGGCUUUGACGGGUAGCCGGCCUGAGAGGGUGACCGGCCACAUUGGGACUGAGAUACGGCCCAGACUCCUACGGGAGGCAGCAGUGGGGAAUAUUGCACAAUGGGCGGAAGCCUGAUGCAGCAGCGCCGCGUGCGGGAUGACGGCCUUCGGGUUGUAAACCGCUUUCGCCUGUGACGAAGCGUGAGUGACGGUAAUGGGUAAAGAAGCACCGGCUAACUACGUG
rnacentral:rRNA from 1 species